CCUCUCAUGAUGAACAUUGUUGUUUAUUCAUAUGAUUUUCAUCAUGUUGUUUCGAGAAAUAUGGAAGCAGUCAAAGAAGAAAAACCACCAAAUAAAUUAAGUUUCCAUAGGAACUCAGGAAAGAAGAAAGUUAUAAAUUCAUUCGGAAUACUCAAUUGAGCAAGAAUUUAUAAGAGACCAACAUCGAUGAAGGGCGAGAAGAGUAUAAUAUUAAAGAACCACAACCUAGGACCUUCAUCAAGGCUUAGGAGUGGUGCUAGUCUGCUAGAUCGUCUCAACAAGUUGGUCUUCUCACAACAUGGAUUAAUGGGCUGUAAUCCAUACUUUUAGAAAAUAUACGUGGUAUAUUUUUGUAGUGUUUACUAUAUUCGUUCUCUCCUCAACAUUUCUAUUUUUGUCAUAAGAAGUCUGUAGUAUUCCAAACACACGUUUCUAUUUAAUCUCAGAGAUACUGUAAAAAGUAUGUGCGUUUGUUUCUAAAAAAAUAAAAUAAAAUCCAGAUACAUACACUAUCUGUUUUGCCUUAA